AGAGUUUGAUCCUGGCUCAGAUUGAACGCUGGCGGCAUGCCUUACACAUGCAAGUCGAACGGCAGCACGGGGCAACCUGGUGGCGAGUGGCGAACGGGUGAGUUAUAUAUCGGAACGUACCCAAGAGUGGGGGAUAACGUAGCGAAAGUUACGCUAAUACCGCAUACGAUCCAAGGAUGAAAGCAGGGGACCGCAAGGCCUUGUGCUCCUGGAGCGGCCGAUAUCUGAUUAGCUAGUUGGUAGGGUAAAAGCCUACCAAGGCAUCGAUCAGUAGCUGGUCUGAGAGGACGACCAGCCACACUGGAACUGAGACACGGUCCAGACUCCUACGGGAGGCAGCAGUGGGGAAUUUUGGACAAUGGGCGCAAGCCUGAUCCAGCAAUGCCGCGUGAGUGAAGAAGGCCUUCGGGUUGUAAAGCUCUUUUGUCAGGGAAGAAAAGGUUACGGCUAAUAUCCGUGGCUCAUGACGGUACCUGAAGAAUAAGCACCGGCUAACUACGUGCCAGCAGCCGCGGUAAUACGUAGGGUGCAAGCGUUAAUCGGAAUUACUGGGCGUAAAGCGUGCGCAGGCGGUUUUGUAAGUCUGUUGUGAAAUCCCCGGGCUCAACCUGGGAAUGGCAAUGGAGACUGCAAGGCUAGAGUUUGGCAGAGGGGGGUAGAAUUCCACGUGUAGCAGUGAAAUGCGUAGAUAUGUGGAGGAACACCGAUGGCGAAGGCAGCCCCCUGGGUCAAAACUGACGCUCAUGCACGAAAGCGUGGGGAGCAAACAGGAUUAGAUACCCUGGUAGUCCACGCCCUAAACGAUGUCUACUAGUUGUCGGGCCUUAAUUGACUUGGUAACGCAGCUAACGCGUGAAGUAGACCGCCUGGGGAGUACGGUCGCAAGAUUAAAACUCAAAGGAAUUGACGGGGACCCGCACAAGCGGUGGAUGAUGUGGAUUAAUUCGAUGCAACGCGAAAAACCUUACCUACCCUUGACAUGGAUGGAAUUCCGGANNGAUUUGGAAGUGCCCGAAAGGGAACCAUUACACAGGUGCUGCAUGGCUGUCGUCAGCUCGUGUCGUGAGAUGUUGGGUUAAGUCCCGCAACGAGCGCACCCUUGUCAUUAGUUGCUACGAAAGAGCACUCUAAUGAGACUGCCGGUGACAAACCGGAGGAAGGUGGGGAUGACGUCAAGUCCUCAUGGCCCUUAUGGGUAGGGCUUCACACGUCAUACAAUGGU
rnacentral:rRNA from 1 species